CAGACAUUCACUGACCCCAUGACAGAAGUGUACCUGCUGUUCUUCCAAGCCACCGUACCAACUUUCACUUCUUUCAACUUGCUGCUUCAGAGAGAGCAGUCAUCAAUAUUUUUGUUACAUGAUGAGAUGGUGAAAUUCGUACGCAAGCUAUGUUCUAAGUUUAUGGUUCCAGCAGCUCUGCAGUGCCAUGUGAAAUUGCCUUUAAAGAAAAGGCAGACCAUUUACCAGGAAGAAAGUUGAACAUUGGGUUCACAACCAGGGCUAAACUUAACAGAUUACUCGACGAGGGUGACAUCACACCACAGCAGGUGGAUUCAUUCCAUGAAGCU